rnacentral:rRNA from 1 species
AGCUGGCGUCCUACGGGCGUCCGCAUUGUAAUCUAUAGAGGCGUUUUCUGUGCCGGACCGUGUCCAAGUCCCUUGGAACAGGGUAUCAAAGAGGGUGACAAUCCCGUACUUGACACGACAACCAGUGCUCUGUGAUACGUCUUCUACGAGUCGAGUUGUUUGGGAAUGCAGCUCAAAAUGGGUGGUGAAUUCCAUCUAAAGCUAAAUAUUGGCGAGAGACCGAUAGCGAACAAGUACCGUGAGGGAAAGAUGAAAAGCACUUUGGAAAGAGAGUUAAACAGUAUGUGAAAUUGUUGAAAGGGAAACGAUGGAGGUCAGUCGUGUCUGUGGGAUUCAGCCGUCUCUGGCGGUGUACUUCCCACAGACGGGUCAACAUCAGUUUUGGCUGGCGGAUAAAGGCAGGAGGAAGGUGGCACCCCCGGGUGUGUUAUAGCCUCUUGUUGCAUACGCUGGCUGAGACUGAGGAAUGCAGCUCGCCUUUAUGGCCGGGGUUCGCCCAC